rnacentral:lncRNA from 1 species
UCGAUAAUGGGACUCACGCAUCUAUAUUAAUUUGGUGACAGUCUGCCAGAAGAAUAUCAACUGUUAUCAAAAUUCAAAACUAUCAAAUUCUCUUAAUUAUAGGAAUUUCAGUUAAUUAAAAAAUAAAUUAUUUCGCUAGAAAGAGAAAGUAAACCAUAAUGGAAAACCAAAACUUUUCAAAGUAAAAUAGAAAAAUAAAAAAACUUAGCGAUGCAGAACUAAUCAUGCCA